rnacentral:tRNA from 1 species
UAUAUUUUAGUAUAUGAUGUACAAGGAUUUUUGAAAUCCUAAGAAAUAGUUUAAUUCUAUUAAAUAUAA